rnacentral:rRNA from 1 species
AACGAACGCUGGCGGCAUGCCUAACACAUGCAAGUCGAACGAGACCUUCGGGACUAGUGGCGCACGGGUGCGUAACGCGUGGGAACCUGCCCUUAGGUUCGGAAUAACUCCCCGACAGGGGUGCUAAUACCGGAUAAUGUCUUCGGACCAAAGAUUUAUUGCCUUUGUAUGGGCCCGCGUUGGAUUAGGUAGUUGGUAGGGUAAAAGCCUACCACGGCGACGAUCCAUAGCUGGGUUGAGAGGAUGAUCAGCCACACUGGGACUGGGACACGGCCCAGACUCCUACGGGAUGGAGCAGUGGGGAAUAUUGGACAAUGGGCGAAAGCCUGAUCCAGCAAGGCCGCGUGAGUGAUGAAGGCCGUAGGGUUCUAAAGCGCUUUUAACCGGGAUGAUAAUGACAGUACCGGGAGAAUAAGCCACGGCUAACUCCGUG